CAUUAAUUCUAUCCGACAAAGGAAUAUGUUGCAUUACAGAUUUUGAAAAAAUGAACACUCUGGAUCAAGCCAC
rnacentral:tRNA from 1 species